UCCUACGGGAGGCAGCAGUGGGGAAUUUUGGACAAUGGGGGCAACCCUGAUCCAGCCCUGCCGCGUGAGUGAAGAAGGCCUUCGGGUUGUAAAGCUCUUUCGGCCGGGAAGAAAUCGCUUCGGCUAAUACCUGGAGUGGAUGACGUA
rnacentral:rRNA from 1 species